UACAGAGGGUGCGAGCGUUGUUCGGAAUUACUGGGCGUAAAGCGCGCGCAGGCGGCCCUUUAAGUCCGCUGGUGAAAGACCGGGGCUCAACCCCGUGUCAGCCAGGGAUACUGGAGGGCUGGAGACAGGUAGAGGCAAGCGGAAUUCCGGGUGUAGCGGUGGAAUGCGUAGAGAUCCGGAAGAACACCGGAGGCGAAGGCGGCUUGCUGGACCUGGUCUGACGCUGAGGCGCGAAAGCGUGGGGAGCGAACAGG
rnacentral:rRNA from 1 species